GACGAAGGAUGCAAGCGUUAUCCGGAUUCAUUGGGUUUAAAGGGUGCGUAGGCGGUUUUGUAAGUCUUAUGUGAAAUCUAUGGGCUCAACUCAUAGACUGCAUGAGAAACUGCAGGGCUUGAGUAUGGGAGAGGUGAGUGGAAUUCCUGGUGUAGCGGUGAAAUGCGUAGAUAUCGAGAGGAACACCAGUGGCGAAGGCGAGUCUCUGGACGACACCUGACACUGAGGCACGAAAGCUAGGGGAGCAAACAGG
rnacentral:rRNA from 1 species